CAGAAUGAAAGUGCUUAACUGCAUUUUUUUUACACAUGUGUUUUUCUUUUUUUUUGAAAACUUUGCUUUGGUGGGCCCAUGGCCUGCCAGAGAUUAAACUCAACCAAAUUUUUAUUUAAGUCAACUGAUUAACUAAUAGUCAA
rnacentral:misc_RNA from 1 species